UUCAUGGAGUAGCUUAACUUAGAGGAUGAAGAGUUUAAUGAUCUGGUGAUCGAGGAGGAUGACCCUGUGGUUAAUGAAGGUGUUCGCUGGUUGGCCCUCGCUAGGGUUCACACGGAGAAAACCUUCAGCCCGACGGUGUUUUACCGUGAGAUGCGUGCAGCCUGGAAUCCGGUGAAGCAGGUAAGGUUCAAGCCUGUCGGACCAAACAUGUUCGUCGUUCAGGCGGAGUGCCUUGGUGAUUGGGAGCGUAUGGUGGAACUUGGUCCAUGGCUCUUCAGAAAUUGGGUGUUACUCAUGUGCCCUUAUGAUGGAUUUACUAAGGCAGAAGAGGUUCUCAUGCUUUUCAUGCCAAUAUGGCUUCAGAUCCAUAAGCUUCCUGAGGGUUUCUAUAGGAAAAAUAUUGUGGAAUCGCUGCUAAAUAAGUCUGGGGAUAUUUUGGAGAUGAGGUUAAACGGCAACACUCGCGGUGAUUAUGUGAGGGUUAGGGUUCGUCAUGACAUCCGCCGACCCCUCACAAAAUUCGUUAGUAUUGUUAGAGGUGAAGCAAGGCAGGUUUACCUGAUCCAUUAUGAAAAGCUUGCACACUUUUGCAGUGUUCGUGGACUGAUUGGGCAUGACUGCAAAGAAUGUGGCACCGGGGUCCAUGAGGUAAAGGAUAUGAAAUUUGGGAGCUGGUUGUACGCAGAUGGUCCGAACAAGGCAAGAACUGACAAGUUCGAACGUAGCAAUGACAAACAAGGUCAGAAGCAGUGUACCCCAACCAAAGGAAAGGAUACGAAGAAAGUUAUCGACCCGAACUUGGCUGAUACUGCUUCUAGCCCAUCAAAAAUUGGCACUAGGGAGAUGCAGGUUGACCCCCCGGCUCGUAAGAGACUGGCCAUGGACAAGUCAGGGCAGGAGUUGCCCAACAUACCGGUGGCUAAGUUAGCCCUGACUCAAGGGCUAGGUGAGGAUGGUGAUACUCCCUCGUCACCAUGCAAUAGUUCAAACAGUAAGAAGGCAAGGAUAGAUUCCCAAGGUUUUUCGAAUGAGAGAUCGGCGGCCUCCUUCGAGGAGGACCGUCGGGUACAAUGA
rnacentral:rRNA from 1 species